rnacentral:lncRNA from 1 species
UCUUCACAUCAUGGAUUUUCAACUACCAUAUUGUUUUUUCUUCCUUGUUCUUCUGCUGCUGCCAUUUUCUGGCAAUGGUCAGGCUCACAGCAACAUAUCUUCGGGCUUAUUUCUCACUGCUGCAAGUGAUAACCUUCCUUGGACUUCACCAUCUGGGGAAUUUGCUUUUGGAUUCCAACAAGUUGGUGAUGCUGGCUACCUACUUGCCAUAUGGUUCAACAAAAUACCCGAAAGAACCAUAGUCUGGUCAGCUAAUAGAAAUGAUCCAGUUCAGGGGGGAUCAAGAGUACAACUUACCAGAGAUGGAGAGUUGGUUCUAAAUGAUCAAUCAGGCAGAACAAUAUGGAGUCCAGUUUUUGGUGGAAGUGGAGCCGCCUAUGCAGCCAUGCUUGACACAGGAAACUUCGUGCUAGCAAGCCAAGCUGGUGCCAAUUUGUGGCAGAGUUUUGAUGAACCAACAGACACACUGUUGCCCACACAAAAUCUGAAUUUAGGUGCUCAACUAAUUGCUCCCUACCUGGAAAAGAAUUAUUCAGAUGGAAGAUUCAAGUUCAUUCUACAAGCUGACAGCAAUCUCGGACUGUACACAACACGUUAUCCAACAACUACCUCAAAUGUUGCUUAUUGGUCUCCCCAAAGUUCUACUGGAAGCGGUUAUAGGGUGAUCUUUAACCAGUCUGGCUAUAUGUACCUCGCAGACCAAAAUGGCAAUACGCUUAAUUCGGUAUUCUCUAAUUCAGUAUCAAUGCAAGAUUUCUACUUGAGGGCAACCCUGGACUAUGAUGGAGUUUUUAGGCAAUAUGCUUAUCCAAAGACUGCUUCCAGUAGCACAAGGUGGGCUAUGGCCUGGACGACUUUGCCAAACUUCAUACCCUCAAAUAUCUGCGUGGUAAUUAGGGGACCAGUAGGCAGUGGAGCUUGCGGUUUCAACAGCUAUUGCAUAUUAGGAGAUGACCAAAGACCAAGAUGCAAGUGUCCUCCUGGUUACACUUUCUUUGAUCCAAAUGAUGAGAGGAAGGGAUGCAAGAAAAACUUUAUUUCACAGGAUUGUGACCAUCCAUCGCAAGAAAUAGAUAACUUUAUGAUCUGGGAUAUGCUUAACACAAACUUUCCAUUUACUGAUUAUGAAGAUUUUUUUUCAGUGGACGAGGAUUGGUGCAGACAAGCUUGCUUGAGUGACUGCUAUUGUGCUGUUGCCACUUAUAACAGUGGACACUGUUGGAAGAAGAGAGGCCCUCUCUCGAAUGGGGUAACAGAUCCAAGUAUUGGUGAUAAAGCCCUGAUGAAAGUAAGGAAAGGCAACCGGACUGCAGGUUCAAGUGCAAAGAAGAGUGAUCGAUCAAUUUUGAUCACAACAGGAUCGGUGCUUUUAGGUAGCUCCAUCUUUCUAAUUGUUCUUUCUCUGCUAGGAAUCUACGUGUUCUUUACUCGAUGGAACCAACAAAAACAAAAGAUGGUACCGCAACUCCAUGUCAUGCCAGAAAUGAAUCUGCAGAAUUUUACUUACAAUGAGCUGGAAACAGCUACAGGAGGAUUCAAGGAAGAACUCGGUAGGGGUGCUUUUGGAAUUGUUUACAGAGGGGCACUAGCCAACGAAGACAAACCGCUCAUCGCAGUAAAGAAAUUAGAAAAGAUGGCCGGGGAGGGCGACACAGAAUUCAAUACAGAAGUGAAAGUUAUUGGCAGAACAAAUCACAAGAAUCUGGUUCAACUUGUUGGAUUCUGUAACGAAGGGGAAAAUCGCCUUCUGGUCUACGAGUACAUGAGCAGUGGCUCCUUGUCAAACUACAUAUUUGGAUAUACAAGGCCUAGUUGGCACCGAAGAAUGCAAAUUGCUUUCGGUGUAGCCAGAGGGCUACUUUACCUCCAUGAAGAAUGCAGCUCCCAGAUAAUCCAUUGUGAUAUCAAGCCUCAAAAUAUCCUCCUCGACGAAUCUCUUAACGCCAGGAUUUCAGAUUUCGGACUAGCCAAGCUGUUGAAGACGGACCAAACCAAAACAACGACAGGAAUCAGGGGGACGAAAGGGUAUGUUGUUGGGGAAUCCGACCGGUGAUGUUCUGAUAUUUGCUCAAUGGAGGCUAAAGGACACUGACACAAUAUUUAACGUGGUUCGGCAAAUCCGCCUACAUCCACGGGAGAGGUCCAUUUUAUUAGAUAUAGAGAUACAUGGAAGAAGAUUACAUCUGCUGCAAUGGCAGCAAGGCUGCUGCCAUUGCAGCUCUCUCUUUUCUCUCUAUUCUCACGUUCUCUCUCUCAGCCUUCUCUUCACUCUCACUUUGCUCUCAAAUAAUUGCCUCUUUUAUAGGCAUUUUAUGGUGAGACAAGAUCCACAAAAUGAGGCACUAAUUAUGCUCCACUAUCUACCAAGUGGGAGUGGGGUAUUUGCCACAAUAAUGGCAAUUUCCUAACAAUCACCCCCUUUGCCAUUUGUGGCAAUUGUCCUCUUACUUCUUCAGCACAAGCUUGCAUUCUGCAGCUCUUCCAAGCUUACCAUUCUGAGAGCGUCUUCAACACAACAUUCCCCUUCGAGCGUAUCAACCAUGCUCGGUCCGGAAUGAUUUUUUCAAGCCUUACACCAAGGCUUACAACACCCCCUCAAACGAAUAUUUCCAAGUGUGACAGUCAUUGAGUAUUUCAAUGUGAUCACAAGCUCACCACUCUUCCAAGAGUCUACUCAUCCAGGAGUUGCGCCUGCCCUCUGUUCCACCCUAGGAACCACGCCUUACUUCUCCGUGAGUCUCUCGCUCUUAGUCGUAAGAGUCCAGGUAGCUCUCCACCUUUAACCAUGGGGGCAGCCCAUUAAAGGUUGAUCCAUAUCUGUCUUCAUACUCUGAGUAUUACAAUGCCAUUACCGAGCUCACCACCUUGACAAGAGUUAACUCGUUCUCGGAACCUGCGCAUGCCCUUCUGCUUCUUCAUAGCAGCCGCGUCUUAAUGCUCCACAAGUCACACACUUAUUGUCCAAGGCAAAUGUCUUCUAGCUCAUUGAUCUUUAGCAUGGGGGCAAUAUCUAUGAAAGUCAAUCAUGCAUUUGUCUUCAUACUCAUCAUAGCCAUUUCAUUGGCUAUACACCUGUCCACUCAUAUCUAGCCAUUACAUUGGCUCUGGGGCGUUCUGAACUGGGCUCAAAUCGUGGCCCACACACCUUCUCCUUAGGUGUCUCCGCUCGUCACCAUACGGCGGUCUGAACUGGGGCUUCUAUCACGACCCUCACACCUUCUCUAAGGUGUCUUCGCCCGUUGUCAUGGGGCGGUCUGAUCCGGGCUCCUAUCAUGGCCCUCACACACCUUCUAUCUAAGGUGUCUUCGCCCGUUGUCAUGGGGCGGUCGCAUCCUCUUUCAGCUGAGAUGCUUCAAAGUGGCUCCAAAAUUUUCUACCACCAUGUGCACUAUGGGAGAUCACUGCCACUGAUUACAUAGAAAGAUAAACUUGCGGUAUACUCCUCGCAAUCCUCCACCUCGAUUUCUAUGUUUGGAGCUUCUACGCCUUUCUGCUUGACAGCUCCACCUACACCAACUCUCUUUGGUGUCAUCGCCUUUCAUCAUAGGCGGUCGCCUUUUAUCACAGGCGUUUGCACCCCCUCAAUUAGGUGCUUCUACAACAGCUCUCUUUCCAUCCUUGCAUGCAUUGGAAAGGUCUUCGCCUGUUGUCUUCAUUAAGAGCAUAAGAGACUUCCUGUUGUACAAACUUUAACAGUCUCUGCUCUGAGCUUCAUCUGGGAACACUUCUUCUCCUUGCACCUGUUGUCUCAUUACAGCACCUCGUUGGAUCCUACGGGUACUCAUGCACAAUCUCCUUGUGCCCUCGUGCAAUUUCUGUUCUCCAGAUUUUUCCCCUAUUCCUUGCUUAUGUUUGACAGCAGCUCAUCCUGUCACCACAUCUAUCCAAGUCAAAAUAGGGUGCCAAUCUUUAUCCCUUGCCGUAUUUCUCUACCAUUAUCAGGGUCUUCAUCAAUUCUCCCCUCGAGAAAUCACAGUCACCGAAUCUAACUUCUUUGGAGAAAUCACCAUUUCAUCAGAUCCUUGAUCAUACGGAACCCAACUGUUCCCUUGUGCCGUCGUCUUGCUAGUCUUCCACCGUUUCAUUACAAACUGCUAUAUAUACGAAAAUAGUACCGUAUGGAUAAUCCUUCCACUAAGCAAGUUCCUAGGAAAGAUUGGAGGGGUCACACUGGUCCCGCUUAAAACCCAAUCUCCUAGCCAGAACUUCUUAGGCCAUAUCUAUCCAUCGUACUGUCUUUCCGUAUAUACAACCAUUUGCUAGCUUUGUUGCGGCUUUCCUUUACAAGUGAUCUGGAAUAUACUAGUUUAAUACAUGAUUUCUCAACAUCUGGCGAGACUACCAGUUCUUAGAUUCGUUAAGAUUGGUCUUCAUCAAUUUCCACUCUUCACCUCAAAUUGUCCACUUGAUCGGGUGUCCAGAGUGUCCCAAUUUUGCCUUCCCUCAAGGCAGUUAAAUUUCUCCCCACUUAGCAGUUCAGCACAUGUAAUUGGGUAAACAUGUGCACCUUCUUCUUCUUCUCUUCAACGACCACCAUAAUGACCUUCAGAUGCCUCCUGAUCGGGCAAUCUCUUUUGUUAAUUAACCACCGCCAUUUUUGGUCUCAAAUCUCAACGAUCGGACCGUACCAUUGCAUCCGGAACGAUCAAAUUAGCUGGAAACAAGUCUGAAAUCGUCCAAAUCGCACUUCAGACGGCUACGAUUUGAUCAAAACAAUUCUGGCCUGAUGAGCGGCCCAGAUUUAAUCUCAGAUCCGGUUGUACGUAGACUCUGCUGCACAGAAUCAUUUCCCUCGGCUCGCGGCUCGGCUCCAACACGGCUCGGCUCAACUCGGCUCGAGGCUGAUGAUGUGGCAGGUGGGUCCCACUUUGCUGACGUGUCUGCUGACUGAUCGAUGACGUGUCUAAUGACCUGGCAUGCCUACUGUGUACGCUGACAUCACAAUUACAUCAUGCUGAUGUCAUCCCUGGCAUGCCUACUGUGCAUGCUGACAUCACAAUUAUGCCAUGCUGACGUCAUUCAUAUCCGGGUCAGCCAUGUGGGUCGGGUCAACUGGUAUUCGGGUCGGGUCAGCCCAUCCGGGCGAAGAAGACGCGUGUCACGCGUGGGGCGCGUGGGCAGACGCCCUGCCGGAGAGUGAUGGAGAGUGCGGCCAUGUCCGACGUCCGAUUUUGACGCCGUUUUCACCAGUGGCUUCGUCUCGGCCUCCUCUACACAGUGGUAUGGUCAAAACACCAUUUUGAGAACUUUCAUUUUUGAGCAAAAAUCAAACACCCCUUUAAACCAUGUGCUCUGAUACCAAUUGUUGGGGAAUCCGACCGGUGAUGUUCUGAUAUUUGCUCAAUGGAGGCUAAAGGACACUGACACAAUAUUUAACGUGGUUCGGCAAAUCCGCCUACAUCCACGGGAGAGGUCCAUUUUAUUAGAUAUAGAGAUACAUGGAAGAAGAUUACAUCUGCUGCAAUGGCAGCAAGGCUGCUGCCAUUGCAGCUCUCUCUUUUCUCUCUAUUCUCACGUUCUCUCUCUCAGCCUUCUCUUCACUCUCACUUUGCUCUCAAAUAAUUGCCUCUUUUAUAGGCAUUUUAUGGUGAGACAAGAUCCACAAAAUGAGGCACUAAUUAUGCUCCACUAUCUACCAAGUGGGAGUGGGGUAUUUGCCACAAUAAUGGCAAUUUCCUAACAUAUGUAGCUCCUGAAUGGUUCAAGAACCUGCCUGUCACAACCAAAGUAGAUACCUACAGCUUUGGCAUUCUCUUGCUGGAGCUAGUUUGCUGCAGAAAGAACUUUGAGAUUAAUGCAAUGCAAGAACAUCAGAUAGUUCUUGCAGACUGGGCAUGUGAUUGCCUUAAAGAAGGAAAGUUGAACCUUUUAGUAGAAGAAGAUGAAGAGGCAAUGGAAGACAUGAAAAGGGUAGAGAGGUUUGUGAUGGUUGCAAUUUGGUGCAUUCAGGAAGAUCCAUCUUUAAGACCUGGAAUGAAGAAAGUUGUGCAGAUGUUAGAAGGAGGUGUUCAAGUCUCUGUUCCUCCUGAUCCUUCAUCAUUUAUCAGCACAAUCUAAAUCUUUUUGAACACACACACAUGUGUGUGUGUGUGUGUCCAGAAACUAAGGCCAAUGAAUGUUACCUAUCUACCUUGCAUUGAAUAAUCUGUAGUUCCUAUCAUGUGUUAGAUCUUGUACAAUAAGGCUUAAAACGCAUGCUUUCAAUUAUUAUUUUUUCUUUUCAUGUUCACGAGUAAUAAGUAAAAUAAAAGAUUUAAAAUGAAUAUAAAGGCAAAUCGUAUAUAAUUAUUAGAUUUUUUUAUUAAUGUCACGGGGCUUUUUUAUUAAGUUGAUUAAAUCCGACCAAGUUAAUUUUAAUUAGUUUAUUUUAAAAACUAACCAGAGUUUAGUUUUGGGUUGGCAAAUAAAUGCAUUGACCGGAAAAAUUCGAUAUUAGUUAAAAUUUAUUUAUCAAAAAAAAAAAUCAUAAAGACAACAAGAAAGUCUUUGCCAUAGGCGGAAGGUUUUUAACAUUAGUUUAUUCUCAAUGCAUGAAAAAAAGAUUCGAAAUUAGUUGAAACCUCUUUAUCACAAGGUAAAAAUCACAAUAACAUAAAGAAAGUCUUUGUCAUGCCUGUUUGGAAAUGCAAUCCAACCUGUUUUUAUAAAAAAAUAAUUUUUUUUAAAAUAAUUUUUUUUAGUAUUUUUAAAUUACUUUAAUGCACUAAUAUUAAAAAUAAUUUAUUUUUUUAAAUAAAAAAAAUAUAAUUUUAAUAUACUUUUAAAUAAAAAAUAAUUUAUAUAAUAACAGCUACUAUAAUUUUAAAUAUAACCACGCGGAUAGUUGGAGAAUCAUAUUUUCUUCCGAAGGCAAUACCAAUAACUCGAGCAUAAAUAGAGAAGAGGACCUGUGCCCUAAAUCAUGCAAGGUCUUCAAAUACAGUAUCUUCACAUCAUGGAUUUUCAACUACCAUAUUGUUUUUUCUUCCUUGUUCUUCUGCUGCUGCCAUUUUCUGGCAAUGGUCAGGCUCACAGCAACAUAUCUUCGGGCUUAUUUCUCACUGCUGCAAGUGAUAACCUUCCUUGGACUUCACCAUCUGGGGAAUUUGCUUUUGGAUUCCAACAAGUUGGUGAUGCUGGCUACCUACUUGCCAUAUGGUUCAACAAAAUACCCGAAAGAACCAUAGUCUGGUCAGCUAACAGAAAUGAUCUAGUUCAGGGGGGAUCAAGAGUACAACUUACCAGAGAUGGAGAGUUGGUUCUAAAUGAUCAAUCAGGCAGAACAAUAUGGAGUCCAGUUUUUGGUGGAAGUGGAGCCGCCUAUGCAGCCAUGCUUGACACAGGAAACUUCGUGCUAGCAAGCCAAGCUGAUGCUAAUUUGUGGCAGAGUUUUGAUGAACCAACAGAUACCCUGUUGCCCUCACAAAAUCUGAAUUCGGGUGCUCAACUUAUUGCUCCCUACCUGGAAAAGAAUUAUUCAGAAGGAAGAUACAAGUUCAUUCUACAAGCUGAUGGGAAUCUCAUCUUGUACACCACACACUAUCCGUUAACUACCUCGAAUUUUGCUUAUUGGUCAACCCAAAGUUCUAUAGGUAGCGGUUAUCAGGUGAUCUUUAACCAGUCUGGCUUUAUGUACCUUGUAGCUAGAAAUGGUACUGUACUUAAUCCUGUAUUCUCUAAUUCAGUAUCAAUGCAAGAUCUCUACUUGAGGGCAACCCUGGACUAUGAUGGAGUUCUUAGGCAAUAUGUUUAUCCAAAGACUGCUUCCAGUAGCAGAAGCAGGGCUAUGGCCUGGACGACUUUGUCAAACUCCAUACCAUCAAAUAUCUGCUUGAGAAUUACGGGACAAGAAGGCGGUGGAGCUUGCGGUUUCAACAGCUAUUGCAGAUUAGCAGAUGACCAAAGACCAAGUUGCAAGUGUCUUCCUGGUUACACUUUCUUUGAUCCAAAUGAUGAGAGGAAGGGAUGCAAGAAAGAUUUUAUUUCACAGGAUUGUGACCAUCCAUCGCAAGAAAUAGAUAGCUUUGAGAUCAAGGAAAUGCCUAACACAAACUGGCCGUUUAAUGAUUAUGAAAUGUUUGGUUUAGUGGACGAGGAUUGGUGCAGACAGGCUUGCUUAAGUGACUGUUAUUGUGCUGUUGCCAUUUUUAACACUGCUGGACAAUGUUGGAUGAAGAGAGUCCCUCUCUCGAAUGGGGUAACAGAUCCAAGUGUUGGUGGAAAAGCCCUGAUAAAAGUAAGGAAAGGCAACUCGACUGCAGGUUCAAGUGCAAAGAAGUGUGAUAGAUCGAAUUUGAUCACAACAGGCUCGGUGCUUUUAGGUAGCUCCAUCUUUCUAAUUGUUCUCUCACUGCUAGGGAUCUAUGUGUUCUUUUCUCGAUGGAACCGACAGCAACAAAAAAUGAUACCGCAACACCGUCUCAUGCCAGACAUGAAUAUGCAGAAUUUCACUUACAAUGAGCUCGAAAGAGCUACAGGAGGAUUCACGGAAGAACUUGGUAGAGGUGCCUUUGGAACUGUUUACAAAGGGGUACUAGCGAACGAAGACAAACCACUCAUUGCAGUGAAGAAGUUAGAUCAGAUGGCCGGAGAGGGCGACAGAGAAUUCAAUACAGAAGUGAAAGUUAUUGGAAGAACAAAUCACAAGAAUUUGGUUCAACUUAUUGGAUUCUGUAACGAAGGGCAACAUCGCCUUCUGGUCUACGAAUACAUGAGCAAUGGCUCUUUGGCCAAUUUUCUCUUUGGAGAUUCAAGGCCUAACUGGUACCGAAGAAUGCAAAUUGCUUUCGAUAUAGCCAGAGGGCUCCUUUACCUCCAUGAAGAAUGCAGCUCCCAGAUAAUCCAUUGUGAUAUCAAACCUCAAAAUAUCCUCCUCGACAAAUCUUUUAAUGCAAGGAUUUCUGAUUUCGGAAUAGCCAAGCUGCUGAAGACAGACCAAACUAAAACAACUACAGCAAUCAGGGGGACCAAAGGGUAUGUAGCUCCUGAAUGGUUCAAGAACCUGCCUGUCACAACCAAAGUCGAUACCUACAGCCUUGGCAUUCUUUUGCUGGAGCUAGUUUGUUGCAGAAAGAACUUUGAUAUUGAUAAGAAAGAAGGUCAGAUAGUUCUUGCAGACUGGGCAUGGGAUUGCCUUAAAGAAGGAAAGUUAGACCUUUUAGUUGAAGAUGAUGAAGAGGCAGCAGAAGACAUGAAAACGGUAGAGAGGUUUGUGAUUGUUGCAAUUUGGUGCCUUCAAGAGGAUCCAUCUUUAAGACCUGAAAUGAAGAAAGUUGUGCUGAUGCUAGAAGGAGCUGUUCAAGUCUCUAUUCCUCCUAAUCCUUCAUCAUUUAUCAGCGCAAUCUAAAUCCUUUUUGUACACAUGUAUAUAUCCAGUUACUAAGACCAAUGAAUGUAACCUAUCUACCAUGCAUUGAAUGAUCUGUAGUUGCUGUCAUUUCAGACAUGUCUAGAUCAUCUUCUGGGUUGAUACUCUAAAUUUCAAGUCAAAUGAUGAUUUCUUCAACCUGUCCAAUUGAGUAACAGAUUGAUUGAGUCUUUAUCAGCUUGGAAAGAAAAACAUCAUGUGUUACAACAUGCACAACAAGGCUUCAAAUACUUGCAUCCAUUUUUUAUUUUCCUUUUCCAUGCUCAAGAGUAACGAGUAGAAUCAAAGAAUCAUUAUUCAAAAUAUGUGCUUAAUAAAUAAUUACUAACCAGUACUUCAAUCUUAAACGGUCUAGCUUUUAUAGACUUGGCCCGUGUAAAUAGCAUGUUUGUUUCCCAAGUUAUUUAUCAUAAUGUAGUCCUAAUUAAGAUCAUAUUAAUUGAGCUUGGCUUGAUUUUCAUAAAAAACUUUGUUUGUAGUUAUUAGAUUAACUCAGCCUGAUAAAUUCACAACUUUAAUUUUUUUCUGUUUUUAAAAUAUCGUUUUAACUUUUAUUAAAAUAAAUUAAAAUAAUAUUAUUUUAAAUUAAUUUAAAAAAUCUAAAUUAACAUAUCUAGUCUGUGGGUCAUGUGCGAGUUCGGGCUUAAUAUUUUGUAUGUGAAUGGUUUGUUUAACAUCUUGAGAAAUUUAGUAAUUGCAGACAAAAGUGGACCAGUCCAUUAUAAUAAUGAUAGGAAGAAAAGGUUCAUUUUGGCGUAAAAGACAAUUUUAGACCAAUAUAAAAGACUAGUCGUGCAUUUGUUGUCUUGUUUAUGUAUGACACGUAGUCGAUGGCAAUGUGACUUUCAAAUUGGAUUGAUUCGUGUGUUAAUUGUACCGUGCACGUUAAAGUUUCAUGCGCUUAUUUAUUUUCUUUUCUUUUUUUCCAUAUUAAAGAGUAACGAGUAAAAUCUUAUAUUUAUAUAUUAGCAUUAAGCAAAAGGGUUUUAUAAUUUAUUAUUCCACUUAAUUUAAUUUUAAAUAAAUUUUUUUUUGAAAGGUUUAGUUUGAAUGAUAAAUGAGUUUGUUCUUAAGCUACUAUUUAGAAUUGAAUCCUUAAAAAAACGAUUCCUUUUUCUGACUUUACAAAUUCAGAUAUAAAUGCUCUAAUUCAAACUCAAUACAUAGGAGGAAUUCAUUCCAAGAAUGAUCACUUUUAAUUCACUUUACAUAUUACUCAACAACAAAUUGAUGUUAAUAGCUCACACUACGCUACAUACUAGAUUUUUUAUAUAUAUAAAGGAAAAUAUGCAGAUGUUUCUAACAUAUUUUCUAGUAAAAAUAAUUUAAAUUAUAUGUGGGUUGACCUGAUAUAACUUGAUUAACUUGAGAUGAAUGAUCGUUAAAAAAAAUUUUGAUAAAAAAAAUCCCAAGAGGAUUUUUUAAAGAAAUAUUAAGACAAAAACAUAUCGGAUCGACUUAGGUCAACUUGGGUUAACUUGUCAAAUCAAUAUUAUUGGUACCCAUUUUGGGACCCCAUACUAAGAAAUUAAAAAACAAUAUUGGAAAAAUAAAAUAUAUAUCAGUAAGAAAAACAUGAAAAUUGUCUAGAAAAUUUCCAAAAACUAGUUGAGAAGGACCAAAAUACCCAAAUUUGAAAAAUUAACAGUUCAAUUUUGAUUGAUGAAGGUCUUAUUAACAAGAAAAAUGCAAUUUGGAAAGAAAAAUUCAAAAUUAGAUGUUUAAUAACUCAAUUGGUAUUUUUUUUAGGGUUUAAUUGAAUUUAUUAAGGGUUUAAUUGCUAGGAAUGUUGGUUUUUGAAUUCAAUUUGGGCUUUAAUUGGAAAGAAUUGAAGUCUUGGGGUUGAAUUGCAAUUUUAAAAAGAUGAUUUGAUCAAAUCAGAGGUUUAAUUGUAUAAAUAUUAAAGUUUAAUAGGCAAUUAAGGACUUGAUUGAAGAAACUUAAAAUCAAAGACCAAACCAUAAAAGACAUGAGACUUCAAGGAUUUAAAUCGAUAAAAUCAAGGGUCAAAUUAAAAACAAUUGAAGGUUUGAUAGUCAAUUGAUUGUCAAUGACCUAAUUAUCUAGCUAUUGCUCUAAGACGUACAGCUAAUAACAAGUCUUUUUUGCAUGUCUCUUUUGCAUGGGUUUAUCACACAGUCCUUUCUUCGCGUUAAUAUAUAUUGGAAGAGUCACCUAAUGUUUGAGUCAUUGCGAUAAGCAUUUUCUGAGGAAGUAAGCAGGAAGCUGCUAUGUUUUGUCCUCCAGUCAAAUAUUGAUAAUUUAUUUUAGUUUUUUUUAUAGUAUAACGACCGGGAGUUAACUCAAGUUAAUUUAUAAAAGUAUCAUUUUGUUAUUUAAAAAUAUAUAUAUAUAUAUUAUUUUUUUAUUUUUUUAAAAAAUUAAACAAGAUUUUUAUAUAAUGAAAUCGACCGGGUUUUGGUUUUGGGUUGGCAGAUAAAUACAUUGACCGUUUAAUAACCGGAAAAAUUGGAUAUUAGUUAAAAUUUAUUUACCAAAAAGAAAAAAUCAUAAAGACAGAAAGAAAGUCUUUGCCAUCUUCAUUUGAUACGCAGAAGGUUUUUAGCAUUAGUUUAUUCUCAUGCAUGAAAAAAUGAUUCGAAAUUAGUUGAAAUUUCUUUAUCACAAUUAACCACAUAAAGAAAGUCUUUGCCAUAUUCAUUUGAUAAAUGCAUUGACCGUUUAAUAACUGGAAGGUUUUUAGCAUUAGUUUAUUCUCAUGCAUGAAAAAAAGAUUCGAAUUUAUCACAAGGGAAAAAUACAAUCACAUAAAUACAAUCUCUUUAUCAAUUAGUUGGAGACCCAUAUUUUCCUCCAACGACAAUACUCAGCAUAAAUAGAGAAGAGGACCUGUGCCCUAAAUCAUGCAAUGUCUUGAUAUACAGUAUCUUCACAUCAUGGAUUUUCAACUACCAUAUUGUUUUUUCUUCCUUCUUCUUCUGCUGCUGCCAUUUUCUAGCAAUGGUCAGGCUCACAGCAACAUAUCUUCGGGCUUAUUUCUCACUGCUGCAAGUGAUAACCUUCCUUGGACUUCACCAUCUGGGGAAUUUGCUUUUGGAUUCCAACAAGUUGGUGAUGCUGGCUACCUACUUGCCAUAUGGUUCAACAAAAUACCCGAAAGAACCAUAGUCUGGUCAGCUAAUAGAAAUGAUCUAGUUCAGGGGGGAUCAAGAGUACAACUUGUUGGGGAAUUCCGGCUCCCCUUGCGCGGACCGGGGGUGUACUGAUAUUUGCUCAUAGGAGGGUAAAGCACACUGACACAAUAUUUUACGUGGUUCGGCAAAACCGCCUACAUCCACGGGAGAGAGUCCAUUUUAUUUGAGAUUAGAGAAAGGAUAUACAUGGAGGAGGAGGAUCACUUCACUCAAACUCUACUCCCAGCUCUCAUUGCUGCACUUGCAGCUGCUGCAAUGGCAACAAGGCUGCUGCCAUUGCAGCUCUCCACUUUCUCUCUAUACUCUUCACAUUCUCACAC